rnacentral:rRNA from 1 species
AUGAACGCUGGCGGCGUGCCUAAUACAUGCAAGUCGAGCGAACAGACGCGGAGCUUGCUCCUCUGACGUUAGCGGCGGACGGGUGAGUAACACGUGGAUACCCUACCUAUAAGACUGGGAUAACUUCGGGAAACCGGAGCUAAUACCGGAUAAUAUAUCGACCCGCAUGGUUCAAUAGUGAAAGACGGUUUUGCUGUCACUUAUAGAUGGAUCCUCGCCGCAUUAGCUGGUUGGUAAGGUAACGGCUUACCAAGGCAACGAUGCGUAGCCGACCUGAGAGGGGGGUCGGCCACACGGGAGCUGGAACACGGUCCAGACUCCUAAGGGAGGCAGCAGUAGGGAAUCUUCCGCAAUGGGCGAAAGCCUUACGGAGCAACGCCGCGUGAGUGAUGAAGGUCUUCGGAUCGUAAAGCUCUGUUAUUAGGGAAGAACAAAUGUGUAAGUAACUAUGCACGUCUUGACGGUACCUAAUCAGAAAGCCACGGCUAACUACGUG